rfam:Nestor notabilis contig48733, whole genome shotgun sequence.
ACAAAGGUUCUGUUUAGAACUACAGAAAGAAACAACAAAGGUAAA